rnacentral:misc_RNA from 1 species
GAUGAAGAACGCAGCGAAAUGCGAUAACUAAUGUGAAUUGCAGAAUUCCGUGAAUCAUCGAGUCUUUGAACGCACAUUGCGCCCCCUGGUAUUCCGGGGGGCAUGCCUGUCCGAGCGUCAUUACAACCCUCAAGCCCGGCUUGUGUAAUGUGCGGCCGUCUCUCCCCCCGGGGGGAGACGCCCCCGAAACUCAGUGGGGAUGUCGCGAUACCGAAGCCUCAGCUAAUGGGUAAACCACAGCUGCAAUGGCCGCGGCCGGCGUCCGCCUUCCACGGUCCGUCCGCCUAGCGCGGGCGGCCUUCUCAAGGUUGACCUCGGAUCAGGUAGGGAUACCCGCUGAACUUAAGCAUAUCAAUAAGCGGAGGA